rnacentral:lncRNA from 1 species
AUGGGCACAUUAUCGACCAAAGGGCUCCGAGAUCCAGAAUGACUAGGUGGUACCCGAAGCAAGAAGCUUGACCACAUGGUGAACCACAUGUUCUUGCCAAGGAGACAAACUUUAACAUCAGAUGAUCAGAAACAAUAAAUGACAAGGGACACACAAUUCAAGAAUGCAAUACCAAGAACUGAGUAUUCGCACAUUAAUCCACAAGCCAGUACAACCAAAAGACAUUCAACGAUCAAAAGCUGAUGGAUGACGC